GGGUUGUGAGGUUAAGCGACUAAGCGUACACGGUGGAUGCCCUGGCAGUCAGAGGCGAUGAAGGACGUGCUAAUCUGCGAUAAGCGUCGGUAAGGUGAUAUGAACCGUUAUAACCGGCGAUUUCCGAAUGGGGAAACCCAGUGUGUUUCGACACACUAUCAUUAACUGAAUCCAUAGGUUAAUGAGGCGAACCGGGGGAACUGAAACAUCUAAGUACCCCGAGGAAAAGAAAUCAACCGAGAUUCCCCCAGUAGCGGCGAGCGAACGGGGAGCAGCCCAGAGCCUGAAUCAGUGUGUGUGUUAGUGGAAGCGUCUGGAAAGGCGCGCGAUACAGGGUGACAGCCCCGUACACAAAAAUGCACAUGCUGUGAGCUCGAUGAGUAGGGCGGGACACGUGGUAUCCUGUCUGAAUAUGGGGGGACCAUCCUCCAAGGCUAAAUACUCCUGACUGACCGAUAGUGAACCAGUACCGUGAGGGAAAGGCGAAAAGAACCCCGGCGAGGGGAGUGAAAAAGAACCUGAAACCGUGUACGUACAAGCAGUGGGAGCACGCUUAGGCGUGUGACUGCGUACCUUUUGUAUAAUGGGUCAGCGACUUAUAUUCUGUAGCAAGGUUAACCGAAUAGGGGAGCCGAAGGGAAACCGAGUCUUAACUGGGCGUUAAGUUGCAGGGUAUAGACCCGAAACCCGGUGAUCUAGCCAUGGGCAGGUUGAAGGUUGGGUAACACUAACUGGAGGACCGAACCGACUAAUGUUGAAAAAUUAGCGGAUGACUUGUGGCUGGGGGUGAAAGGCCAAUCAAACCGGGAGAUAGCUGGUUCUCCCCGAAAGCUAUUUAGGUAGCGCCUCGUGAAUUCAUCUCCGGGGGUAGAGCACUGUUUCGGCAAGGGGGUCAUCCCGACUUACCAACCCGAUGCAAACUGCGAAUACCGGAGAAUGUUAUCACGGGAGACACACGGCGGGUGCUAACGUCCGUCGUGAAGAGGGAAACAACCCAGACCGCCAGCUAAGGUCCCAAAGUCAUGGUUAAGUGGGAAACGAUGUGGGAAGGCCCAGACAGCCAGGAUGUUGGCUUAGAAGCAGCCAUCAUUUAAAGAAAGCGUAAUAGCUCACUGGUCGAGUCGGCCUGCGCGGAAGAUGUAACGGGGCUAAACCAUGCACCGAAGCUGCGGCAGCGACGCUGAUGCGUUGUUGGGUAGGGGAGCGUUCUGUAAGCCUGCGAAGGUGUGCUGUGAGGCAUGCUGGAGGUAUCAGAAGUGCGAAUGCUGACAUAAGUAACGAUAAAGCGGGUGAAAAGCCCGCUCGCCGGAAGACCAAGGGUUCCUGUCCAACGUUAAUCGGGGCAGGGUGAGUCGACCCCUAAGGCGAGGCCGAAAGGCGUAGUCGAUGGGAAACAGGUUAAUAUUCCUGUACUUGGUGUUACUGCGAAGGGGGGACGGAGAAGGCUAUGUUGGCCGGGCGACGGUUGUCCCGGUUUAAGCGUGUAGGCUGGUUUUCCAGGCAAAUCCGGAAAAUCAAGGCUGAGGCGUGAUGACGAGGCACUACGGUGCUGAAGCAACAAAUGCCCUGCUUCCAGGAAAAGCCUCUAAGCAUCAGGUAACAUCAAAUCGUACCCCAAACCGACACAGGUGGUCAGGUAGAGAAUACCAAGGCGCUUGAGAGAACUCGGGUGAAGGAACUAGGCAAAAUGGUGCCGUAACUUCGGGAGAAGGCACGCUGAUAUGUAGGUGAGGUCCCUCGCGGAUGGAGCUGAAAUCAGUCGAAGAUACCAGCUGGCUGCAACUGUUUAUUAAAAACACAGCACUGUGCAAACACGAAAGUGGACGUAUACGGUGUGACGCCUGCCCGGUGCCGGAAGGUUAAUUGAUGGGGUUAGCCGCAAGGCGAAGCUCUUGAUCGAAGCCCCGGUAAACGGCGGCCGUAACUAUAACGGUCCUAAGGUAGCGAAAUUCCUUGUCGGGUAAGUUCCGACCUGCACGAAUGGCGUAAUGAUGGCCAGGCUGUCUCCACCCGAGACUCAGUGAAAUUGAACUCGCUGUGAAGAUGCAGUGUACCCGCGGCAAGACGGAAAGACCCCGUGAACCUUUACUAUAGCUUGACACUGAACAUUGAGCCUUGAUGUGUAGGAUAGGUGGGAGGCUUAGAAGUGUGGACGCCAGUCUGCAUGGAGCCGACCUUGAAAUACCACCCUUUAAUGUUUGAUGUUCUAACGUUGACCCGUAAUCCGGGUUGCGGACAGUGUCUGGUGGGUAGUUUGACUGGGGCGGUCUCCUCCUAAAGAGUAACGGAGGAGCACGAAGGUUGGCUAAUCCUGGUCGGACAUCAGGAGGUUAGUGCAAUGGCAUAAGCCAGCUUGACUGCGAGCGUGACGGCGCGAGCAGGUGCGAAAGCAGGUCAUAGUGAUCCGGUGGUUCUGAAUGGAAGGGCCAUCGCUCAACGGAUAAAAGGUACUCCGGGGAUAACAGGCUGAUACCGCCCAAGAGUUCAUAUCGACGGCGGUGUUUGGCACCUCGAUGUCGGCUCAUCACAUCCUGGGGCUGAAGUAGGUCCCAAGGGUAUGGCUGUUCGCCAUUUAAAGUGGUACGCGAGCUGGGUUUAGAACGUCGUGAGACAGUUCGGUCCCUAUCUGCCGUGGGCGCUGGAGAACUGAGGGGGGCUGCUCCUAGUACGAGAGGACCGGAGUGGACGCAUCACUGGUGUUCGGGUUGUCAUGCCAAUGGCACUGCCCGGUAGCUAAAUGCGGAAGAGAUAAGUGCUGAAAGCAUCUAAGCACGAAACUUGCCCCGAGAUGAGUUCUCCCUGACUCCUUGAGAGUCCUGAAGGAACGUUGAAGACGACGACGUUGAUAGGCCGGGUGUGUAAGCGCAGCGAUGCGUUGAGCUAACCGGUACUAAUGAACCGUGAGGCUUAACCUUACAACGCCGAAGGUGUUU
rnacentral:rRNA from 1 species